rnacentral:lncRNA from 1 species
AAGAGUAUAGGAUACCUUUUUUAUAAUCCUACUGAAUAUAAGAUGUUUGUCAGUAAAUAUGCCACUUUUAUGGAAAAAGAGUUUAUCCUAGAAAGAGGUAGUGGGAAGAAAACUGAACUUGGAGAAGCUCAAGACCUACAAAUGCAAGCACAAGAUGAUUCUCAACCAAAAAUAUCUAUUAAUGAAGUACAACCAUAAAAUACACCUCCUCUCUGA